GCAGAGGAAGGACCCGGCCCCGCGGCCUCGCGGCUUCCGCCCGCCCCAGCAGGGCCCUUCUUUGAGCUCCCCAUCACCGGCACUGCUGGUGGGACACCUUCCCAAAGGGCUGGAGGGACACACUAUCCCAGAGUGAGGACAUCAGCGCCUGCCUGCAGCCGGCCAGAGCAUCCCUGCCAUGUGGCCUGACUCAACCUCUCAGAGCUUUCCUGCCUCUGAGGCAAUAAACCAUGAAACCAGGACAUUUCAACACCGAGAUGGCCUAACUUGGCACUGCACCAUGCAGAGUGCUUCCCUUGCUUGCCAGUGGAGGUUGGCUCUUCAAUGGAGCAAAUGUCCUUUGAUUUGGGGUCCUGUGGGGCUCUGAAUACCUGACCUGCAUUGGGUUCACUUCGGCCACCCAUCAGAUGAGAAUGUCCUCCCAGUCCAUCCCUCGCAUCUCAGAGUCACUCCCUGAACCCCAGGCUCUUUUCUGGAUGAGACUUUUAAGGGCAGCAGGGCUUGGUGGGCUUCAAGCUUCCCAACAGCAGCAGAGGCCAAGCUAACAGUGCACCAAGAACUGCUCCUCCUCCUCUUCCUCCUCCACGUGCUCUGUCAUGGUCAGGCUACAGCGACUUCCUGGCGUUGCACACAGCUUCUCACCAACCGUUAGGAAAGAGCUUCUGGUUUCAGGCGAGGGGCACUUUGGAGAGGCUCGCCUUGCACGAGUCCUUCUGCUUGGGUGCCUCUGGUGGCCUUCAGAAAGGAGGUGAGCAUGCAGGAGAGCGGCCACUGAUGGAAAAUGACACAUCUGGAGAGGAAAGAGGCCGUGGUGAGGCACCUACGGGCAAAGCUCCAAGGGAACAGGAAAGAUCCUCCCAAAGCAGGCGGCUGCCCUGAGAGUCGCUCUGCGGCGCCCCUUGCAACAGAGCCAGGACAGACCCCCACGCCAGAGCCCCCCCGGAGCAGGAGGGUGGACUUCAGCAGGGCUUCUCCAUCACACAGUAAAGGUGUGGGACAGUGUUCACCUCCUCAUCCCACCGCCGAGACCCCGGCAUGGGUGGUGCAACUGAAGAAGGGGACUGCUCAGGAUGGCAGCUUCCACCCAGCCCCUGCAAAGCCAGGAGGAGGAGAUGUGUUGGACAAGGAGGUAGGAGCCACAUCUGAUCCUCCCUGGAGAAACCCAGCCCAGCAGACAUGGCCACUCGCCAAAGACAAGGGUGCUGCAGCAGUUCCUGUUGCAGCCCCUAUGGGUGCUGUGGCAAGCCCCCACGGUAUGGGGCACCCAGCUCAGCCUCGGAGGAAGCCUUUGCCGCACAUCAAGGCACUGGGAGCGAGGCCAGCCAAGCCCAGGCGUCCUCCUGUUGUGGAUCUGGAGAAGUUUGGUGCACCUGCACAUCCUGGGACUCCCAUCCAUCCUGCCAUGGAGCCACCAAGGAGUGCUCAGCUGGGUCACCCCAAACCAGGCUAUGCUGCAUCAGCACGGUUCCCACCACAGGAUGCUCCGAGUGUAAGGGGGGAUGAAGAUGAGAUAUAUGAUGAUGUAGAGCCUGUUGGGCUGAUCGGGAGAGCGCAAGGCUUUCCACUGCCCCCCACGUGCCAGCCGGCAGCAAAUCGCUGCCCCAGAGGAGGUGUCUAACACCUUAUAGCAGCCUCAUGGCAGCACCUCUCCCAGGGUUUGGUUUUGCAGGUGGAGAUGCCGGUCGAGCUUCUAAUGGGUUUACCUUGCUGGCAGCUGCACAGAGGUAACAGGGAGUUUUACUCUUUCUAAGGGUCCCAAAAUGGCCAGGGCUCCUUGCUGCUUUGGCAAAGCUGGUGGUUGAAUGCUCUCUGCUGGGCUUGCAAUGGAAAUCUCCAUGGUGAAGAGCACAAGUAGCUGGUUUGAACCUGGCCUGAGAACCGCAGAGUGGGUGAAGGGAAAUGUGGUGGGGCAGCAGCUGAGGGGCAGAAGGGGAGAAGGGAGGGAGCAGAGUGUGGGGUCACCUGAGCUUUCCUGUGACUCGCAAUGGCUCUGCAGAGAAGCCCAGGUCCCCCGGAAGACGAAGCCAAUGACACUCAAGGAAUGCAAGAAGGAAGAGAAGGCAGACAGGGAGUUUCAGAAGAAAUUCAAGUUUGAAGGAAGCAUCAAUGUCCUGACUCAGAUGAUGGUCGACCCCGCAGUGAUGGAGAAAAGGGGUGGAGGAAAGAACCUGCCACUGAGACGAGGAGAAAUUCUUGAUGUUAUUCAAUUUACAAACCAGGAACAAAUCCUCUGCAGAAACAGCCAGAGGAGGUAUGGCUACGUGCCCCGGGCCGUGAUGCUACACCUGGACACUGACAUCUAUGAUGAUGUUGAGAUUUAUGGGUGAGGAUCCAUGGCUAAAGCCAAAGGCAGAAGACACCACCAACAGAGACCUCCACAAGGGUCAAAACAUGACCCAGGUCACACCUUCUCUGUGGCUUUGUUUUGUCUGUGUAAAAUAUGGCAAUGGUAUGAG